ACCCCUAGUGCCGCGAUCAAUAUGGUGAGCCCCGGGGAGCCGGGGCACACCAGGUUGACUAAGGAGGGGUGAACCGGCCCAGGUCGGAGACGGAGCAGGUCAAAGCUCCCGUGGCGAUCAGUAGCGGGAUCGCGCCUGUGAAUAGCCACUGCAGCGUAGCCUGGGCAACACAGAGAGACGCGGGUUCCU
rnacentral:SRP_RNA from 1 species